rnacentral:rRNA from 1 species
UACAGAGGGUGCGAGCGUUAAUCGGAAUUACUGGGCGUAAAGGGCGCGUAGGCGGAUUGGCAAGUGGGAUGUGAAAGCCCCGGGCUUAACCUGGGAAGUGCAUACCAGACUGCUGAACUGGAGUGCAGGAGAGGGUAGCGGAAUUUCCGGUGUAGCGGUGAAAUGCGUAGAUAUCGGAAGGAACGCCGGUGGCGAAGGCGGCUACCUGGCCUGACACUGACGCUGAGGCGCGAAAGCGUGGGUAGCGAACAGG